rnacentral:lncRNA from 1 species
GCCUGUGUGUCCUGGGUGGGCCCUAGAGACGCGUUUCCAACCAACACACGCAGCUGGACCAAUAUGCCUUCCCUGGGAAUGGAGAGUUCACUUGCCUAGGCUAAUCGGCAGGCCGGGCUCCGGGAGUUCCUGGCUUGCCUAGGCGUCCUGAGCUGUUGGCCUCCUCCUUCAAAACGGAAGACGUGUUUUUCCCUCUCCUUUGUGUUGCCUUUGCACAAAAGGCCGGGUGCGUGUAAGGGCCGGCCUUUGCUCCGCAGCCUGGCGGCCCAGGAGGAGCCAGUGCCAAACCGGCUGGGGCGACUCUCGCGGGGCUCCAGGGCGCAGACCUCCCACCGAUUCCCUGGUUCCCUAUUUGGUCCUGGCUCUCCCCCUUCCUUUCCCUUCCUUCCUUCCUUCCUUCCUUCCUUCCUUCCUACUAGCAUUCAGGCAGCGAUUCUGCCUGGCUGCCAAGAAGAGCGGUGUCCUUGCGCAGAAUCCUCCCGGGGUGGCGGUGGCAGGCAAGGCUUCUGGCACCGGAGAGUGGGGGUGAGGACUGGAGGUCCGGAAGCCAGAAGGACUGUAGAAUGGCAGCUUUGGAGCUCAACCGUGUGCGGUAAGACACUCCAGGAGUCAGAACCCGGCGGAGCUUGGCAAAACUCAGCGUGAAGCCCCAGCCGGACCUCGCCAGGGUUUUGUACGUCUGCCUGCCUGGCUGGCAGGUGGCGUGCAUGCGCGCGGUGAAUGUUUCCAAAGGCCUUCUCAAGCAAUUGUGCAAGGACUAGUAACAGUAAAACAGUGCAUCUGUGGGCAAGGAUCUAUUGGUGUAUUCAAUAAACAGGUCAUUUCUG